rnacentral:rRNA from 1 species
GACGAACGCUGGCGGCGUGCCUAAUACAUGCAAGUCGAACGCAUUUUCUUUCACCGUAGCUUGCUACACCGAAAGAAAAUGAGUGGCGAACGGGUGAGUAACACGUGGGUAACCUGCCCAUCAGCGGGGGAUAACACUUGGAAACAGGUGCUAAUACCGCAUAAUUCCAUUUACUGCAUGGUAGAUGGAUGAAAGGCGCUUUUGCGUCACUGAUGGAUGGACCCGCGGUGCAUUAGCUAGUUGGUGGGGUAGCGGCCUACCAAGGCUGCGAUGCAUAGCCGACCUGAGAGGGUGAUCGGCCACACUGGGACUGAGACACGGCCCAGACUCCUACGGGAGGCAGCAGUAGGGAAUCUUCGGCAAUGGACGCAAGUCUGACCGAGCAACGCCGCGUGAGUGAAGAAGGUUUUCGGAUCGUAAAACUCUGUUGUUAGAAAAGAACAAGGAUGAGAGUGGAAAGUUCAUCCCUUGACGGUAUCUAACCAGAAAGCCACGGCUAACUACGUG